AUUUCAUUAAUGCGGGAAACAUUAUGGGGGAAAACUCAUCAAAGUUGAAAGUGCUGGCUCUUGACUUCAUGUCCGCUGGAAACUUCGGCGCAACUGUUGGUGCUGGACUACCUGUCGUGUGUCUCCACAAGUUUCAAAUGAUUUACGCAUGGUUUUUAUAUUCGUGUUCGUCUUAGAGUAUAAAUUGAACGCACAUGAAUUAUUAUACUGUAUGAGGUUUCUGUUGCCUUUCUUAAUAUUAUACUGUACUUGUUUUGGUUUCAAACUUGGAGUAUGUGUGUGUCUCAAGGAAAUUGAUAGAGUUUUCAUUGUUUCAAAUUGGCAAUA